UCGAGAAUCUUCGGCAAUGGGGGAAACCCUGACCGAGCGACGCCGCGUGCGGGAUGAAGGCCUUCGGGUUGUAAACCGCUGUCGUAAGGGAACAAAUUUACGGGGGUACUCCCCUGUAAUUGAGUGAUCUUAGGAGGAAGGACGGGCUAAGUUCGUGCCAGCAGCCGCGGUAAGACGAACCGUCCGAACGUUAUUCGGUAUCACUGGGCUUAAAGAGUUCGUAGGCGGCCCGACGGGUGAGGUGUGAAAUCCCUCGGCUCAACCGAGGAAUUGCGCUUCAAACCGUCAGGCUUGAGGGAGAUAGAGGUGAGCGGAACAGAUGGUGGAGCGGUGAAAUGCGUUGAUAUCAUCUGGAACACCGGUGGCGAAAGCGGCUCACUGGAUCUUUCUGACGCUGAGGAACGAAAGCUAGGGUAGCGAACGGGAUUAGAUACCCCGGUAGUCCUAGCCGUAAACGAUGAGCACUAGUCUGUGGGGACCCUCACAUCCUCUCGGACGUAGCGAAAGUGUUAAGUGCUCCGCCGG
rnacentral:rRNA from 1 species